CAUAGUUCAGUUGGUUAGAGCGUCAGAUUGUGGUUCUGAAUGUCGUGGGUUCGAGUCCCACUG
rnacentral:tRNA from 2 species